GACGAACGCUGGCGGCGUGCUUAACACAUGCAAGUCGAACGAUGAAGCGGGUGCUUGCACUCGUGGAUUAGUGGCGAACGGGCGAGUAACACGUGAGUAACCUGUCCUUUUCUUUGGGAUAACGGCUGGAAACGGCUGCUAAUACUGGAUAUUCAGGCUGCAUCGCAUGGUGUGGUUUGGAAAGGUUUUUUCUGGGAUUGGGUGGGCUCGCGGCCUAUCAGCUUGUUGGUGGGGUGAUGGCUUACCAAGGCUUUGACGGGUAGCCGGCCUGAGAGGGUGGUCGGUCGCACUGGGACUGAGAUACGGCCCAGACUCCUACGGGAGGCAGCAGUGGGGAAUAUUGCACAAUGGACGAAAGUUUGAUGGAGCGACGCCGCGUGGAGGGUGUAGGCCUUCGGGUUGUGAACUCCUUUUUCUCGCGAAAAAGGCACAGUUUUGGCUGUGUUGAUGGUAGUGGGGGAAGAAGCGCCGGCUAACUACGUG
rnacentral:rRNA from 1 species